GACGAACGCUGGCGGCGUGCUUAACACAUGCAAGUCGAACGGAAAGGCCCUGCUUUUGUGGGGUGCUCGAGUGGCGAACGGGUGAGUAACACGUGAGUAACCUGCCCUUGACUUUGGGAUAACUUCAGGAAACUGGGGCUAAUACCGGAUAGGAGCUCCUGCUGCAUGGUGGGGGUUGGAAAGUUUCGGCGGUUGGGGAUGGACUCGCGGCUUAUCAGCUUGUUGGUGGGGUAGUGGCUUACCAAGGCUUUGACGGGUAGCCGGCCUGAGAGGGUGACCGGCCACAUUGGGACUGAGAUACGGCCCAGACUCCUACGGGAGGCAGCAGUGGGGAAUAUUGCACAAUGGGCGGAAGCCUGAUGCAGUAACGCCGCGUGCGGGAUGACGGCCUUCGGGUUGUAAACCGCUUUCGCCUGUGACGAAGCGUGAGUGACGGUAAUGGGUAAAGAAGCACCGGCUGACUACGU
rnacentral:rRNA from 1 species